AAGUGGAGCAAUCCAUGAGUAAAGUGGCGACCGGGUGAGUAACACGUGACUAACCUACCCUAGAGUGGGGAAUAACCUCGGGAAACCAGGGCUAAUACCGCAUAACAUCACCGGGUGAAACUCCCGAUGAUCAAAGGGGUAAGACGCUUGAAGAGGGGGUCGCGGCUGAUUAGUUAGUUGGCGGGGUAAUGGCCCACCAAGACGAUGAUCAGUAUCCGGCCUGAGAGGGCGGACGGACACACUGGGACUGAGACACGGCCCAGACUCCUACGGGAGGCAGCAGUGGGGAAUUGUUCGCAAUGGGCGCAAGCCUGACGACGCAACGCCGCGUGGAGGAUGAAGACCUUCGGGUCGUAAACUCCUUUCGAUCGAGACGAAUGUUUUCCGGGUGAACAAUCCGGGAAAGUGACGGUACCGAGAGAAGAAGCCCCGGCUAACUCUGUGCCAGCAGCCGCGGUAAUACAGGGGGGGCAAGCGUUGUUCGGAAUUACUGGGCGUAAAGGGCGCGUAGGCGGCCAUCUAAGUCAGACGUGAAAUCCCUCGGCUCAACCGAGGAACUGCGUCUGAUACUGGAAGGCUUGAAUCCGGGAGAGGGAUGUGGAAUUCCAGGUGUAGCGGUGAAAUGCGUAGAUAUCUGGAGGAACACCGGUGGCGAAGGCGGCAUCCUGGACCGGUAUUGACGCUGAGGCGCGAAAGCUAGGGGAGCAAACGGGAUUAGAUACCCCGGUAGUCCUAGCCCUAAACGAUGA
rnacentral:rRNA from 1 species